rnacentral:rRNA from 1 species
UACGUAGGGGGCAAGCGUUGUCCGGAUUUAUUGGGCGUAAAGAGCGUGUAGGCGGCUUUACAGGUCCGUUGUGAAACUCGAGGCUCAACCUCGAGACGCCGGUGGAAACCGUAAAGCUAGAGUCCGGAAGAGGAGAGUGGAAUUCCUGGUGUAGCGGUGAAAUGCGUAGAUAUUGGGAAGAACACCGGUGGCGAAGGCGGCCAUCUGGACCGGAACUGACGCUGAGGCGCGAAAGCCAGGGGAGCGAAUGGG